GAUUGUGUUGUUUUCUUUUU
rnacentral:miRNA from 1 species